rnacentral:rRNA from 1 species
GACGUAGGGCGCGAGCGUUGUCCGGAUUUAUUGGGCGUAAAGAGCUCGUAGGCGGUUUGUCGCGUCUGCUGUGAAAACCUAAGGCUCAACCUUGGGCUUGCAGUGGGUACGGGCAGACUAGAGUGCGGUAGGGGUGACUGGAAUUCCUGGUGUAGCGGUGGAAUGCGCAGAUAUCAGGAGGAACACCGAUGGCGAAGGCAGGUCACUGGGCCGCAACUGACGCUGGAG